GGGGACGACGUCAAGUCAUCAUGGCCCUUACGAGUAGGGCUACACACGUGCUACAAUGGCGCAUACAGAGGGCAGCAAGCUAGCGAUAGUGAGCGAAUCCCAAAAAGUGCGUCGUAGUCCGGAUUGGAGUCUGCAACUCGACUCCAUGAAGUCGGAAUCGCUAGUAAUCGUGAAUCAGAAUGUCACGGUGAAUACGUUCCCGGGCCUUGUACACACCGCCCGUCACACCAUGGGAGUGGGCUGCAAAAGAAGUGGGUAGUUUAACCUUUCGGGGAGGACGCUCACCACUUUGUGGUUCAUGACUGGGGUGAAGUCGUAACAAGGUAGCCCUAGGGGAACCUGGGGCUGGAUCACCUCCUUAUACGAAGAUA
rnacentral:rRNA from 1 species